AUCGUAAUAAUGUGAAAAGUGCAUGAACGCGAAAUUAAGGAGCGGAAUAUGUAGUGUCGAUCUUGACGCGUGAAGUUGGCCUCGUGACGAAGCCGCUUCUCGCCAUCCUAAGCUGUAUUCAUAUUCCUUUUACAGAACAUGGAGGACACGGAGCGGACUCGCUCUAGAGCGGAUGCGUCUACGCUGCUUGUUUAACAGAAGGCAGCGGACGCGGGACGGACCGGCUCCAGAACGGAAGUAUCGUCGCGGCCCGUUUAACAGAACGCGGCGGAUGCAGGUCGGAUCGGAACCGGAGCGAGCGGUAUCGCGACUCGUUUAACAGAUUGUAUAGUGUUGUAUGUACUACAAUUUUAUUAUUGUACAUCGUGGGAAUAUAAUCUAAAGAGGAGAUCUGACAACUCGGAAAUAAAUCAGAAUUCAGGGAGGUAUCGGAGAAAGAGACUUGGCAGAGCAACUUUGCGAUUCAUUGUAGCCGAUGCGUCUGAUAACUCCACCGUUGCGCAUCAAUUGGUGAGUGAUAAAAAAAUUUAUAAAAGAGGUAAUGAAACUAUAAAAUAUAGUAAAACAUUUUACUUUUUAAUAAUAUAAAAGAAACAAUCUCUAACAAAAAUGUUUAAAAAAAUUAUUUUAAAAGAUUGAGUUUAAAUAAACAAAAUUAAGUCGCGUCCAUUAUUUUAAUUUGUGUAAUUAUUAUUUUUUGAUUAUGUCCAGACACAACAAAAAUUUAUAAUUUUUAUUAUAAUCAUAAAAGUAAUUUUGCCAAGACAUAACAUUAAUUAGAUGAUAUAAAAUUAUGUUAUAACAUAAUUUUAAUUAGAUAAAUUAAACAUUGUGACUUGUCCAGAAAUUAAUUUUCGCGUUUGAUUGAACACAUUUGAAAUUAUGGAGUACGAUUCGGUAUUGGAGAUCGAUGCAAUGUGCACUCUGGCUUCUCGUUACGUUAUCGGUUCAAUGAGACCAAGUCUCAUUGAACUUAGCGUCUAACCGGCCGAUCAGCUGGAUUAACCAUGAUUUGUGAGCAUGUCGCGGGUUGACAAAGCACCCCAGAAA